AGAGGUCUCAAGCGUUGUUCGGAAUCACUGGGCGUAAAGCGUGCGUAGGCUGUUUCGUAAGUCGUGUGUGAAAGGCGCGGGCUCAACCCGCGGACGGCACAUGAUACUGCGAGACUAGAGUAAUGGAGGGGGAACCGGAAUUCUCGGUGAAGCAGUGAAAUGCGUAGAUAUCGAGAGGAACACUCGUGGCGAAGGCGGGUUCCUGGACAUUAACUGACGCUGAGGCACGAAGGCCAGGGGAGCGAAAGGGAUUAGAUACCCCUGUAGUCCUGGCAGUAAACGGUGCACGCUUGGUGUGCGGGGAAUCGACCCCCUGCGUGCCGGAGCUAACGCGUUAAGCGUGCCGCCUGGGGAGUACGGUCGCAAGAUUA
rnacentral:rRNA from 1 species